rnacentral:tRNA from 1 species
GAGGGUAUAGCUCAGUGGUAGAGUGCUUCCUUAGCAUGCAUUGAGUCCUGGGUUCAAUCCCCAGUACCUCCA